AGUCCUGCCUGCCCAGUGACUAGAGGUUAAACGGCCGCGGUAUCUUGACCGUGCGAAGGUAGCAUAAUCAUUUGUCUCCUAAAUAGAGACUAGUAUGAAUGGCGAGACGGAGCCAAGCUGUCUCUUUCCCACAAUUCCGAAUUUCACCUCCCCGUGAAGAGGCGGGGAUAGAAUCGCUAGACGAGAAGACCCUGUCGAGCUUAUAGCAGAAACCGAACCCUUGAUACAUUUUAUGCCACGCUAAUUUAUGGAACUAUGUGGUAAACAAAAAUCUUCAAGGGAUUUGUAGAAGCUUUGGUUGGGGCAACCACGGAGCAAGAGAACCCUCCGAUAAUAAAAAUAACUAUACUAAGAAUAACAAUUCUAAAAUCAACAAUGAGAGUAUGAUCCACUUAGGUGAUCAAAGGAACAAGUUACCGCAGGGAUAACAGCGUUAUCUUUUCUGAGAGUUCACAUUGACGAAAAGGUUUGCGACCUCGAUGUUGGAUCGGGACAUCCUAAGGGUGCAGAAGCUUUUAAGGGUUGGUCUGUUCGACCAUUAAAGUCCU
rnacentral:rRNA from 1 species